rnacentral:rRNA from 1 species
GACGAACGCUGGCGGCGUGCUUAACACAUGCAAGUCGAACGAUGAACCCGGAGCUUGCUCCGGUGGAUUAGUGGCGAACGGGUGAGUAACACGUGGGCAACCUGCCCCUCACUUCGGGAUAACUCCGGGAAACCGGGGCUAAUACCGGAUAUGACCUCCUUGGGCAUCCUUGGAGGUGGAAAGUUUUUCGGUGAGGGAUGGGCCCGCGGCCUAUCAGCUUGUUGGUGAGGUAGUGGCUCACCAAGGCGACGACGGGUAGCCGGCCUGAGAGGGCGACCGGCCACACUGGGACUGAGACACGGCCCAGACUCCUACGGGAGGCAGCAGUGGGAAUAUUGCGCAAUGGGCGAAAGCCUGACGCAGCAACGCCGCGUGCGGGAUGACGGCCUUCGGGUUGUAAACCGCUUUCAGCAGGGAAGAAGCCGCAAGGUGACGGUACCUGCAGAAGAAGCACCGGCUAACUACGUGCCAGCAGCCGCAGUAA